AAGGAGAAGAAGAAAGGAGAAGAAAAAAAAAAGGAAGAAAAAGAUUUAGCCGUCCGAUUCCAAUUCCGACUUGGGUGUACGUUGGAGGAGAUUUGGGUGAAGUUAUAAAAAUCCAGAAAGUAUCGGUAGGAGGUACGCAUGGCACCUCCGGGACAGGGGAGGUCUCGGGAGAUAGAAAGACGGGCUGAAUGAGUGAACUGCAUCUGAUGUAUUAUAUGUAAAUUCUAACUAGAAAAACCUCCCGUUUUGGGAGUAUGUUUUUGUAAAUAUUUAUAAACUUGUUUUUUUGGGAAUAAUAAAAUGCUUAUAUAAUUAAUUUUAGCCUUAACACUGUGUUGUGGGGCCCGAAGUAGGAGGUGACGACCUCAUGAUGCAGUGUGGCGGUAGCAUUUCCAGUA